GGGGAUGCAUUGCAUCGACAGGAAAGCACUUUAAAAAAUUGCAAGCCGACAAUGACUAAAUGUCGCUAAAUUAGUCAAAAUAUAAAUGCUAGAACUUCACGUUCCAGCGCACAACCUCUUUACGCAUUUGCUUAAAAUAGGUUGAGCUGUUCUUAAAGUCUUUUCUCAACGGGACUUUUUGAGCAUAAAUACAGUUGAGAAAAUAAUAAGGAAGUUGAUUAGAUCCUUAUCGAAUUUAUAAUCUUGACUUUAUUUUUUCCUUUCGAUUGGACAAGAAUAAAGCGACUUUUAAUAAUCGAAUAAGCUUGUAGAAGUUUUUUAAUAAAUUUCUUGGACUCGAGACUCAAAGCUCGACAUCUCCACAA
rnacentral:tmRNA from 1 species